UUAUUUUUCUCAUCUUUUCAAUCUUGAGAUUUUAUUUCAUUUGGUUUUAUUUAAUUAAAUAUUUAAUUGGAGAAUUAAUUACAUAUACAGGAUGUUUAAAAAAUAAAGUUUAGAGAUUUAGCCACAUUGCCUAUCAUACGGUAUACGCCACAUGCUGAACUUUCUGUUCUGUUGAAGUAUAUUAAGGAGUGGGAAUGUCGCAUAGUGGGAAAAUUGUGCUGCAUGAUGGGGAAAUCAACUCGGUAUUACCUCAAGGGAUUGAAAUCUUCGACGCAGAUUAUAAUCGCCACAAUUUGCAUGCAAUAUUAAAACGUUCAUGCUAAUUACAUUAUUAAUCACGUAUAAUAAAAAUCUGGAAUAGAAAACAUUAAGUUCAUCGAACUUGCGAAUCACAGAAGCUAACGUUCUCUUUUCCAA